UGUUUUCUGCAGAGAAAAGGCUUUCAGACUUAAAUACUGAGGAGAUGAAUGAGUGGAGAGAGAAAUGAGUGAAUUAGGUAUCAGGAGAUCACAUGACUCUCUUGUCUAUGGGUGCUGGAGUGUAUAGACGCUAUGGAGUGACAUCCAGAUCCCCUUUUUUGCUUCUUCAAUGUUGGCCUGGUUCUGUUCCUCGUACGCCAUGGCUACCACAGCCAGGAUCAAGUUUAUCAGAGAAGCCGUGCUGCUGGAGAAGUCCCUGGCUGAUCCAUCUGUCUCUGCUAUGGACAAGAGAAGAUAAGAUGAUGGAGUAACAUCAGACUCUACGCCCAUCAACUCUCACCAACAUGGCUUCUGGAAUGUGAGCUGAACAAGCAUGACAAGUGUGACACCAAUAGAUAUGCCAAAGUGGAGGAGAAAGACCCACGAGAAGAAAACAUCUAUCCUCCCUCAAAUUUAUCCUCCAAAAAAUAUCAGAAGACUUGAAUUCUGAAGUAAAGUGAAUAGAAAGCAGUUAUAGCAGUUUGGGAGAUGGCUCCAUCUGUAAAGUGUCUGCUGCAUAUGACUUCAGAUUCCCUGUGACCAUGUAAAAGUCAGCUAUGAAGCAGGGAAUGUUUAUUUUAAAGAAUGAACAUGAAGAUAUUGCUUUGAAUGGAGAAUAAAUUACAGAGAAAGAAAUCAUCGAAGUAAAGAGAGAAGUGUUCAGUCUGAAGUAUGAUUCCACUAAACUGAGGCUGACAUGAACUAAUUUGGUGUCUGGGUAGACAGAAAUUCAGAUGGAUGAGAUACACUGGAGAAGUACUAUGGAACAGACGUAUGUUUUGGAGGGAAGAUCAUUAGAUCUUUUUAGAGGUGGACAGGAGCAAAUGGGGUCAUGAGGUAGAGCAAACAAUCAAAGGCAGCUUUGACACCGAAUGAAAUAUGAGUUACUUACUCAGAUUAUAAACGUUUAGAAAUACGUUAGAAAUCCAAGACAGAGAUUUAGGGAAAAUCAAACAUGAUGAGCAUUGGGACACCUAGCCUGGUUCAUUUACAUUAAUAAACUUUACCUCCCCUACAAGAGUAAUGAGAAGUUUUAGAAAAACAUCACACAAACCCUUCUCACACUUUGUAGCCAUGUGCACAUAUAAUACAAAUAAAUCAAAUAUGUCUUUAUUAUCUAAGCAAAUGCCUCAAAUGAUUUUUCCCUUACCAUAGAUAAAGGGACCUGAACAUGCUAAAUACAGUGAAUAAAAGGCACUGAUUCCUCCUCUGAAUUUCUUUGCAGCCAAAUCACCUCAGCAACAAGUAGCAAAAUACACAGAAGCUUUAUGGCUAGAUGGCUCCUAUGAUUACCUGCGGCUCCCUGAGGGGCUGUGGGGAGGAGGGGAGGAUAAGAAGGGCUGGAUGUGUUUGGCAGACAUCCAAAUCUGACUCAGCUCUCUCCAGGAGCAGCACCAGGUACAUUGAAAGCCCAGCUUUGCAUCACCGAACUCCAAGCACACUUCAUGCAUAUCCAGCCUUGGUGAUAAUGUGACAUUGUGUACCAACUACACAAUGGCUUACUUCUAAAAAGAAACUCUCCUUUAAACAACUGUAGUUGGUUUUUAAUACUGUUAAAAAUAUUGCCAUCAAUAGUCUAAACAGCUGGUAUACCCUCUAUUACAGCAAACACCAUAUUUUGUCUGGCAUCUUGUAGUGAGUGAGUUACUCUAACAGUCUUGAUAAUGUCAUACAUGGAAAUCAGAUAAAAGUGACUUUUUAAUUGUAUUUUAAAAACGAAAUUCCAUUUACUUUAAAUUGAAAGAAUGAAAACUCUAGUUUAAAUAUGUGAAAAUGACUAAAACAGAAAGAAAAAGAUGUCUUUUUCUAGUGCUCAGAAAAAGGAGCUGGAAAAGAAAAGCUUUCUAGGCAGAAGAGACCCCACAACACCGACUCACAUUCAGAAAAUCCCACCAUUUGUGUAAAAGCACAUGCUAAUUUGGUCUUUAUCUAUUCUAAAUUAACUUUGGAGAAAAAAAAAAAAAUUACCCGAGCUUCAUUCUGAAGAAAAUUGCCUUCAGAUUCAGAAAAUUUACUAUGGAUGUCAAAACUUAAAAAAGAAAAGGAAAUACCAUGUAAAACUUUUUGCUAUGAUUUCAAAGGCUGGCAUUAGUGUUUAGUUUGAUAAUCAUGUUUGGAUCAUUUGCAUAUAUACACAUGCAAAGAAAAAAGUUCACCCGGAGUUCACGCCAUUCAGUUGUUCUACCUAUUUAGUCAAAAUGAAAUAAAAUAUAUGUGUCACUAUACAGUGCUCAUUGGCCUGAAAAAAAAAAAAAAAAAAAAAACGGUUGAGAAAGGGGCUGGUCCAUUAUCUGCGUGUGUGUGCUUUUCCGGGAUGCGUAGGUCUUCUGACCUUUCCCAGAUAAAUCAGCUAAUCUCGUUUUUCGUUUGGCAGACACAGCUUUACCACACAAGCUUCUUUGCUAGUAAAGAAGUAUGAGCUGGCCCUGGUACUGAGACCCAUGGAACAAUUCUGCUGGAGUAGACCGAGAGAAAUAAAAGAUUAUUAAGCACCACUACCUUGUCUUUGCACAUUGCCAGAACCGCUCUGGGGAAGAUGAGAAAAGUUUUUGCUGGUUGGCCAAGUAGUCUAUCAAAACUGGUGACCUUCAGCUUCCAAAACAAGAGGGAAGUCCCUUGAUGUGGCUCAUCAGGCAAAGUUGUACAUUCCAAAGAUGGCGUAGAUGAACAUGACCAGGAAGAUGAGAAGACUAAUGUUCAGCAAUGCUGGAAGGGACAGCAUCAAAGGAAGCAUCAGAUCAUGGAACACCUUUGGUCCUUUCCCGGGAUGCAGGAUGUGGAUGACCCGAGAGAGAAGUAUCAGUUGCACAAGGGAGGGUGGCACCAAGUAUUGUCCUACUGUCAAAGGCAGCAACAAUCCUUAGUGUGAGAAGAGAUACAAGUAGGCAACAAAAUUACCACAAUGAAAACAAUUUAUUUUGCAAGUAAUCUAAUUUUCUAAGGCUCAUGAAUCUUCUGCCAAUCUAUCACUUAAAUUAACCUAUCUCAUGUAGCAUAUUGAAUAGUUGGCUAGGUAAAUAUUAAUUGUACCAAUGACAAGGUUAUGUACCAAACUCAGGAGACAUUUUUCUGCACUGUCAUCUGCUGUGGAUAUUGUUCUAUAUGCUGUGAAUGUGGUGCUCUGAUUG